GCCAGUGUGGCGUAAUGAUUUGAGUGUUGGACUAAGAUUUUAUGGACCAGGGUUCAAUUCCCAGCUAUGUCA